UACGUAGGGUGCGAGCGUUAAUCGGAAUUACGGGGCGUAAAGCGUGCGCAGGCGGUUCGUUGUGUCGGUGGUGAAAGCCCCGGGCUUAACCUGGGAAUGGCCAUGGAAACUGGCGAACUGGAGUGUGGCAGAGGGGGGUGGAAUUCCGCGUGUAGCAGUGAAAUGCGUAGAGAUGCGGAGGAACACCGAUGGCGAAGGCAGCCCCCUGGGCUAGCACUGACGCUCAGGCACGAAAGCGUGGGGAGCAAACAGG
rnacentral:rRNA from 1 species